rnacentral:lncRNA from 1 species
CUCUUCCUCUCAUUUGCACCAAACUGUGAAACUCUCUCUGCCUCUAACCUAGCCGCCGUCAACGUUGGAUUUUCAGGCGAAUCAACGUCGAUUGAGUACUCAAGUCAUAGUGGAAGUUUCAUCCACAAGUCCAAUGACGCCUCUCUCUUUUUCGCCGAGCGAAUCUGAUGAAAAGUCCAAGCCUUCUUCCAAGAAAAAGGUAUUUGUUAUUUCAACUUUUUUCUCUAUUUUUAAUUUUAUGUAUGGAUUUGUUCUGGGUUUCUAUUUUCUUGGAGUUUUAACAUCUGGAAUUUUUCUGCAAUUCCUUAUUUUCAUACUUUUAAAAGAACUUUGCCUAUGAAUUGCAAGAGAAGUUGGAAUUUUGAAGCUAAAUGAAUUAUAAAAAUAGGAACUCCAAGAGAUUAAAGGAAUAUAUCAGGUAUCACUUUUAAUAUUUGAUAACAACUGAAUCCAUCUAAAAACUGCAUGUAGAAUACAAAGCAGUAAGAAUGCAGAAUUUGUUCUCUUUUUAAUUUGUAUUCUGGCUACAGAGACAGAAGAUUUGUGCAGUCUUAUUUGGUUUCAAGUAUCUCUAGAGUGAAAUCUAAGAUACAAAAUUAUAAUUGAAAGGAUAGGAAGUUUGAUUGAUCAAAAGUUUCUUGUGUCGGAGAACAGCAGAAAAUUACCAUUCAAAUGGCUGUUCAUAUCUUCACUCAUUCUGGUUAUUGGUGAGUAAAGUAUACGGUAUCGAGUUAACUCAAGAGUCUGCUCAUAAACUACAAUGUCAAGUCUAACUACCUGCUCAUUUCUUAACGAUUAAAUGCCGCUAAUAUUAGAGAUUUAUGCAGUCAGUGAUAAGAACAAAAUUCUAAUUUUUAACCUUUUUUACUACUCAAUAACAAGAAAAUACGAACUUCCAACAAUGAAACAUAAUUUAAUUGGUGCUAAAACAGUGUUUCAUAUGAUUCAAAUUACAAUCUUUUCUAUCUAAAAUUAAAUGCCAAAACGAGAUUACCUUUUGGAUAUUAACUAAAGGCUCAUGUCCAAAACUUAAAUUCAUAAGAAAACAACAUAUACAUUAAGGGAAAGUGUUGUAUCACAUAGAAAUCACCAAACAUGACUUACUGUUGGGAAAAAUAAUAAUUUGAAUGUAGAUUAAUGUCAAUUAAAAUAACAAAUUUAAGCAAAGAGUUAGAAAAAAAUUAAAAAAAGUUACUUGUACAAUGAACAAGCACGAAAAGGAAAGAAAAACUUAGCUAAUUCAAUUGAUCAUAAAUCAGAAAAGAGAUAUACUACGGCGUUAUAUAGAGUGGAUUUCACGACAUUCGGGAGGCCAACGAUGUUGGCUUUCAAGCUCAUGCUUAUCUUAGCUAUCUGAAAUUGUCUAUUGAUAAAAACAUCGAAUGCGAAGAAUUUGAAAGAUUUGGUCAUUGGAAUAGGAGUGAAAGCUUCAGUGGUAGUGAUGAAAUUGAAAGAAUGAGAUUUGCGCAUACUAUUCUUACCAUUAAUAAAGGGAAAUGAGGUUGAGAGUUUGCAGAAUUUGAUUAUAAUGUAGUAAUUGCUAAUUCUUUAAGGCAAAAUUUUGGGAGGGGGAGGGGGAGGGGGAGGGUUAUAACAUAUUUAACAUGUUCUUAAAUAAUUUAGUUAGUUAUUAGGGUAUUAAUCUAAGCGGAACUUACGAAAGUACUCCCAAAAUUAGAAGUCUUUUGAAAAAUCAUAUGGAAAGUGUUUUAGAAGUAAAAAAAUACUUGUGUAAAGUGAAGUGUCCCAUUUUUAUUGAAAGGUGACAUACUGAGAAUUCAUGUUUGUCAUUCAAAAAAGUAAUAGAAAUUUUUUAAAAAAAGUGAUAUAUACAACAAAAAAAUUAUAGAAUUUCAAAAAAGUGACCAAAAAAAAAAAAUAGUGACAAACACUCAAAAAAGACAAAAAUUUCAAAAAGUAACAAAUACUAAGAAAAUUGACAAAUUUACAUUCGUGUCAAUAAUUCAAGUCUUGUUGAAUUUGAUUGAUGUGAUACCAUUUUGAAAGUAUACAACUUGAACACAACGAGCAAACUUACCCAGAAUUUACAAUGGAUAAAUGCCAUUUCCUAGUCUAACAUCGAAGAAACAAUUUGCACAAUUUGAUUUCAUAUUAAAUCAAAUUAGGCUCAAAACUAGCAAUCAUUCCCUAAAUAGAAGUCAUGUAUCAUGAAGUGCACAAUCCGCAAUCAACAAGACAUUGAAAUAAUAGAUAGAAUAUAUACACGUAUUUGCACGAGAAAGAAUUACUCUAGAAACAUGCCCAUCCCACUUUCAAGAGUUCCUUCUUCCAAUGCAACGUCAUUUUGAGCACACCCAUAGUAAAUAAGUUAUAUAUCGUAAAACUUCUUUCACAGUUAACACAAUAUAAAAUAAAUUAACAUCAAGUUUCACUUAUAUUAAUUCAACAUAACAUAUAACUUCAUUUUAGGAACAUAAAAAGGUUAUAAAUUAGAAGUGUUAGAAAUUCAACAAGGGGUGCCAAUUUAAAAAAGUGAUAAAUACUUAAAAAAAGCAGAAAUUAAAAAGAGAGUGAAAAAAUCAAUCAAAGCCUGAAAAUGGAUCUAGUGUUGGUUGAUAGUGUUGGUUGAUUUCUUCUACAUUCUGUCUUUUUAAAAUUAUAUUUUACUUCUAUUAAUUAAACAUGUGACAUAACUUCAUUUUAGGAAAACAACAUCUUAUAAGUAGGAAGUGACAAGAAUUCAUAAAAAUGACUAAAAUUUAAAAGAGUGAUAGAAAUUCAAAAAAAAUGACAAAUUAUGUUUGUGUCAAUAAUUCAAAAUCACUCUAUUGUCUACACAUGAAAUUCGUAAAUCGUAACAUAUGCUCAUGUAUGAGAUCAUGUAUUCAAUAUAAUAAUGAUCGAUCUCAUAUUUGAAUAAUCACAUCAUCAACGUUUAUAUGCCCUAUUCAUACACAAAUUAGCCAAAAGCUUAAUUCAUAAACCAUCCUGUUUCUCCAACUGGCACAUGAAUAAGUAAUCUAACAAGGCAUUUGAUUGAAAGCAAUUCUAGGGCCCAAUCCUUGACAUCAUACUAUUCUCCUAAAACUUCAGAGAUAAUAAUUUUGCUAUCUUCUUUACGAGCUACAUCAGAGUGAAGAUGUUCUUAGUAUACAAACGUAAGUUCGAGUUUCAUUGGGUUGACCUAUCGGAAAACUAUCUACUAAGAAGGUCGUCAGCUUCUUCCUAUGCCCCUUAUUUACUAAGCUUGUGUUAUAAUCCAAAUUUUUAUCUCCAUUAAUAGUUGAAGACAAGUAAUCAGCAUUAUUAGCUAGAAAGCAAUGGGAUUUAUUUUGUCGGAGAAGGUACUCAUCUAAAAACAUCAUCCUUUGUGAACUUUCAUUAAUUUGGUGAAGAUGAUAUUUUUAUGAACUUAUAACAUCAUCAUACAUAUAUCACGCCUUUUAAACAAAGCCAUACUAUGAUUCUAAGACACAUCAAGUGAAAGGAAAGCAUAAUGCUUAGUUAUAUAUUAAAUCAAAAUUGAACAUGGCAAUUGAAACUAUACCUUUUGUUCAAUGAGCAAAAUAAUACAUGCUGCCAAAUGGACAAUGCCCUUUUAGCUCCAUUUGUUACAAAUCCUUGUUUUCCAGUUUGAGGGCUUCAAGAUUGAUUCAUUAUUGCCAAACUUAUUGUCGUAGUUUCUCGGGCUCCAGACUGAUCAUCAUGAAGGAAAAGUGCAAUUCUCAUCAUAAGAACAGCCCUCCUCUGUAUAGAAUUUCUUGCAAUGCCUCCAUUUAUAAGACUUCUGUGCCUCCUAACCACCUAGUAUAAUCGAAAUAUGAAACUCUUCACUUUGGCUUUGAUGACACUCCUCGUUCUUUGUCAUGGGCAACAACCAAAUCUUGAUGGUGGGAAGUAAAACAGAGAUCCAGUGGUGGGAGUCUCAGGAUUUCUAAGUUAAUUACCCAAAUAGUCACAUAACUUUGUCAAAAAUUUCAGGAGGUCGCUGAACUUCAAAACUUUCCUAAAUAAUCACUGAACUUUGGCGAAGUUCCCAAGAGCUCCCCAAAUUUCAAAACUUUGCUCUUCUUCUCGUAGCGAAUGAGAAGAGCCUGAGUGAUGCUAUAGAGAAGGGCAUUCAUUUACAGGAGCAUAUUAUGAAAUUAUACAAUGAUUAUUAUCAUGAUGAGUUGAUGAAAUUAGUUGUCAUUGGAGAAAUUAAGUUUUUUAUUCAUACAUUAAUAAGAAAAUGGAUAGAUGUGAAAGGUUUUUAGUUGGCCAUGUAAUUGAUAUUUGUUAUAGAAAGAAUGAAGAGAAAUCACAAGGUUGAGCUACGAGGUUGAAUCACCAGGUAACUAUAUUCUAGUGAACAUUUUGUUUCAGAGAAAAACCAUACAAUCAAUAUAAAAAAUUUCAACUAUAUGGCCAGUCAAGAACCUUUUACAUUUAUCCAUUUUCUUAUUUAUAUAUGAAUAAAAAACUUAAUUCCUCCAAUGACAACUAAAUUUAUCAACUCGCCUCCUGUAAAUGAAUGCCCUUCUCUAUAGCAUUACUCAGGCUCUUCUCAUUCGCUACGAGAAGUAAAGCAAACACAGUACAAAGAUACAUACACCUAAUGAGUCUAUUGAAAGGAUGAUCAGAGGUAAAUGUAUAGCACUGCAGCUGUUGCAGGCAUGAGAAAUUAUCUUGUAAAAAUUGAUUAAAUUUUAACCCAAAUUGUUAUAUGUUUAUAGGAUAUUCAACUUUGAGCCAACAGCGAUAACAAUGAACGAUCUACUACAAGAUGAUUUUUCGCGUCUGCAACAACUGUAGUGUCAUACAUCUGCGUCUGGUCAUCCUUUCAAUAGAUUCAUUCGGGGUAUAUUUCUUUGUAAUGUGUUUGCUCUACUUCUUGUAGGAAAUAAGAAGAGCCAGAGUAAUUUUAUAGAGAAUGACAUUUAUUUACAAUGACAUAUUAUGAAAUUAUACAAUGA